AAGACCUCAAAUCAGGUGGGAUUACCCGCUGAACUUAAGCAUAUCAAUAAGCGGAGGAAAAGAAACUAACAAGGAUUCCCCCAGUAACGGCGAGUGAAGAGGGAAAAGCCCAAAUUUGUAAUCAGACUUCUGUAAGGGAGUUUGAGUUGUAAUUUCUAGAGCUGUUUUCUGUGCUGGACCAUACACAAGUUUGUUGGAAAACAACAUCAUUGAGGGUGAUAAUCCCGUUUAUGGUAUGGACUACCAGUGCUGUAUGAUACAGCCUCCAAGAGUCGAGUUGUUUGGGAAUGCAGCUCAU
rnacentral:rRNA from 1 species